rfam:Triticum aestivum genome assembly, contig: Triticum_aestivum_CS42_TGACv1_scaffold_603342_7DL
CUACUACUCCCUCCGUCCGAAAAUACUUGUCAUUGAAAUGGAUGUAUCUAGAUGCAUUUAGGUUCUAGACACAUCCAUUUUGAUGACAAAUAAUUCCGGACGGAGGGAGUAUUAU